GGAAAGGCGCGCGAUACAGGGUGACAGCCCCGUACACAAAAAUGCACAUGCUGUGAGCUCGAUGAGUAGGGCGGGACACGUGGUAUCCUGUCUGAAUAUGGGGGGACCAUCCUCCAAGGCUAAAUACUCCUGACUGACCGAUAGUGAACCAGUACCGUGAGGGAAAGGCGAAAAGAACCCCGGCGAGGGGAGUGAAAAAGAACCUGAAACCGUGUACGUACAAGCAGUGGGAGCACGCUUAGGCGUGUGACUGCGUACCUUUUGUAUAAUGGGUCAGCGACUUAUAUUCUGUAGCAAGGUUAACCGAAUAGGGGAGCCGAAGGGAAACCGAGUCUUAACUGGGCGUUAAGUUGCAGGGUAUAGACCCGAAACCCGGUGAUCUAGCCAUGGGCAGGUUGAAGGUUGGGUAACACUAACUGGAGGACCGAACCGACUAAUGUUGAAAAAUUAGCGGAUGACUUGUGGCUGGGGGUGAAAGGCCAAUCAAACCGGGAGAUAGCUGGUUCUCCCCGAAAGCUAUUUAGGUAGCGCCUCGUGAAUUCAUCUCCGGGGGUAGAGCACUGUUUCGGCAAGGGGGUCAUCCCGACUUACCAACCCGAUGCAAACUGCGAAUACCGGAGAAUGUUAUCACGGGAGACACACGGCGGGUGCUAACGUCCGUCGUGAAGAGGGAAACAACCCAGACCGCCAGCUAAGGUCCCAAAGUCAUGGUUAAGUGGGAAACGAUGUGGGAAGGCCCAGACAGCCAGGAUGUUGGCUUAGAAGCAGCCAUCAUUUAAAGAAAGCGUAAUAGCUCACUGGUCGAGUCGGCCUGCGCGGAAGAUGUAACGGGGCUAAACCAUGC
rnacentral:rRNA from 1 species